GAACGAACGCUGGCGGCGUGCCUAACACAUGCAAGUCGAACGUGAUUAGAGAGCUUGCUCUCUAUGAAAGUGGCGCACGGGUGAGUAACGCGUAGAUAAUCUGCCUGGUGAUCCGGGAUAACACCUCGAAAGGGGUGCUAAUACCUGAUAAGCCCACGGUGUCCUUGGACGCUGCGGGAAAAGGGGGGGACCUUCGGGCCUUCCGUCACCAGAUGAGUCUGCGUACCAUUAGCUAGUUGGUAGGGUAAAGGCCUACCAAGGCGAUGAUGGUUAGCUGGUCUGAGAGGAUGAUCAGCCACACUGGAACUGAGACACGGUCCAGACUCCUACGGGAGGCAGCAGUGGGGAAUUUUGCGCAAUGGGGGAAACCCUGACGCAGCAACGCCGCGUGAGUGAUGAAGGCUCUUGGGUCGUAAAGCUCUGACAGAGGGAAAGAAGUGUACGGGGGCUAAUAUCCCUUGUACUUGACGGUACCCUCAAAGGAAGCACCGGCUAACUCCGUGCCAGCAGCCGCGGUAAUACGGGGGGUGCAAGCGUUGUUCGGAUUUAUUGGGCGUAAAGCGCGUGUAGGCGGUUUGUUAAGUCUGUUGUGAAAGCCCUGGGCUCAACCCGGGAAGUGCACUGGAUACUGGCAAACUUGAAUACGGGAGAGGAGAGUGGAAUUCCUGGUGUAGGAGUGAAAUCCGUAGAUAUCAGGAGGAGCACCGGUGGCGAAUGCGGCUCUAUGGACCGAUAUUGACGAUGAGACGCGAAAGCGUGGGUAGCAAACAGGAUUAGAUACCCUGGUAGUCCACGCCGUAAACGAUGAGUACUAGGUGUUGCGGGUAUUGACCCCUGCAGUGCCGCAGCUAACGCAUUAAGUACUCCGCCUGGGAAGUACGGUCGCAAGACUAAAACUCAAA
rnacentral:rRNA from 1 species